rnacentral:misc_RNA from 1 species
AAACUAUAUACUUUAUCAAUUUAUCCACAAACUAACUAUUAUCAUAUCCAAACAAAUUCACAUAUUUAUAAUAACUAAUUUCUAUAUACAUUUUUAUUUAUUUUUAUUUUACCUUAUUUUAAUAUCUACUCCAAAACAAUUUAUUUCUUAAACUACCAACUCCAAUUCAUUUAAAACUAUAAAAUAUAUUCAAUAAUUCCUAAAUCA